rnacentral:lncRNA from 1 species
UGUCCUGGUGUGGAGAUCUCGCAUACCCCCAUACCAUAACUACACUAUGAGGUGUGAGAUAGAGGCAGCACAAGAGAUGAUGUCCAAGAAGAAGCGGCCUCACUCCAUGGUGUAAUUCAGGUCAUCUGCAAAUGAGCACACAACCUCAGUUUGUUGCUAUUCACUUCAUUGGCAGGUUUUAUUAUUGCAAUCAAAUUUGAAUGGUGAUAUGCAUAAUAGGAUCUAUCUGUUUCUUGCAAUGAGCUCUUUUUUCUUAUUUUAUAUCAAAUAGGUUACGCACUCUGCUAAUCCUUUGCAGUUUGUAGUUCAGUUUAUGUGCAUUUGUCCUCUGUACGCAGCAGUUUGUAACCUGGGCGACAAGACUCUCAUAGGAAACUACAACUCAUGAGAAAAUACAAUCAUAUUCAGUGACUUAUGUGCAGUGCAGAAAUGCAUGAUCUGACCUCGGAAUAUACAGAGACUAUGAUGGCUUGUUUCGUUUCGUUUAACUUCCUGUGAAAUUCCUGCUUUCCAAAUGCAGCAUUAGUUUGGCCCAGUAGAAAACAUAUAGUAAUCACAGAGAAACUCGCAGGAAUCUACCCAGCCCUCGUGUAAGAAUUAGUCAACAAUUGGAGGCAACAAAGGACUGGUCCAUUAAUACAUCAUGGUGGAAAAUGUUGCGUCUAGAUAAUGUGUGAACAUGACGACUCCUUGCAGCUUAUCUUACAGCAUUUAGGUAGCUCGCCUGGCAGUUAGAGGCCAGAGAUGAACUGAAAACAGGAACUCAA